AGUGAACGCUGGCGGUAGGCCUAACACAUGCAAGUCGAAUGGCAGCACAGUAAGAGCUUGCUCUUACGGGUGGCGAGUGGCGGACGGGUGAGGAAUACAUCGGAAUCUACUUUUUCGUGGGGGAUAACGUAGGGAAACUUACGCUAAUACCGCAUACGACCUACGGGUGAAAGCAGGGGAUCUUCGGACCUUGCGCGAUUGAAUGAGCCGAUGUCGGAUUAGCUAGUUGGCGGGGUAAAGGCCCACCAAGGCGACGAUCCGUAGCUGGUCUGAGAGGAUGAUAAGCCACACUGGAACUGAGACACGGUCCAGACUCCUACGGGAGGCAGCAGUGGGGAAUAUUGGACAAUGGGCGCAAGCCUGAUCCAGCCAUACCGCGUGGGUGAAGAAGGCCUUCGGGUUGUAAAGCCCUUUUGUUGGGAAAGAAAAGCAGCAGGUUAAUACCCCGCUGUUCUGACGGUACCCAAAGAAUAAGCACCGGCUAACUUCGUG
rnacentral:rRNA from 1 species